UGUUGGUGAGGUAGUGGCUCACCAAGGCUAUGACGGGUAGCUGGACCGAGAGGUUGACCAGCCACGAUGGGACUGAGACACGGCCCAUACACCUACGGGUGGCAGCAGUGAGGAAUCGUGCGCAAUGGACGAAAGUCUGACGCCGCGACGCCGCGUGAAGGAAGAAGCUUCUCGGAGUGUAAACUUCUUUUCCAUAGGACGAUUAUGACGGUACUAUGGGAAUAAGCCACGGCUAACUUCGUGCCAGCAGCCGCGGUAAUACGAGGGUGGCAAGCGUUAUCCGGAUUUAUUGGGCGUAAAGAGCGCGUAGGCGGUUUCACCAGUCUUAACAUAAAUCUCAUUGCCUAACAAUGAACCUUGUUAAGAUACUGUGGAACUCGUGGAUGGCAGGGGCAAGCGGAAUUCCCGGUGUAGGGGUAAAAUCCAUUGAUAUCGGGAGGAACACCAAUGGCGAAGGCAGCUUGCUAGGUCAUUUCAGACGCUAAGGCGCGAAAGCGUGGGGAGCGAACGGGAUUAGAUACCCCGGUAGUCCACGCCGUAAACGAUGCUGACUAGCUAUAGGGAGUAUCGACCCUUCUUGUAGUGAAGCUAACG
rnacentral:rRNA from 1 species